AACAUUCAUGUUAACUCUGUCAGUCUUUGGACUCUACCAAGCUAAUAUCCAAUUCCAAGUGAAUAUGAGCAAUUUUGUAUGUGAGAAGCUUGCAAAAAGGUCACAAUGGCAUGAAGGUAGUUCUUUUGACCCGUCACUCCCUAACACGGUAUAGGUAACUUUAAGCAGAGCUUUUGGGCAGCAUUCUGCACACCUGAUAAGGUAGGGAAGGAUUAAUACUUCACCAGCCUUAUCACCAAACCUGGACUCAUAGUCAACAGCUGGUCAUAUUCACUCCUUGUCAUUCACUUGCAUUGCUUUAGGUGCCUCAUUGUCUCAUCUCCCAGAGCACCUCAGUGAACUGACAGUAAAUUGUUGGGGGUAGGAAAGCAGUUCCUGAAAAGAUCCUUUACCUCCAGAUAAGUUGCCAAAUAAAGUUGUCAGAGCAAACAAUUGGGCAGAUCUUACCUACUGCUUUUCUGUGACUACUGCUGAGCAACAGUCAUGGUUUCAUUUCUAAAUCUAUCCUUCUUUUUAGCAAAAGCAGAGACCUUUCCAGCUUAAAUGACCUUGAAACUUGCAGCAUGUCCAGACAUCAAAACUUCCUAACAGAGAUACAAAUAGAGCAGAACCCUACUUAUGUUGAACCCAUCUCGUCACAUCAUUAC